CCUCCACCUAAAUAUCCUUUACCUUCUACACAAAUUAUUCUACGAGGUGUAAUGCACCUCCAGAUUGAAAAGUUUUAAGUUAAAAGCUUCCUCAUCUACAAAACUGAGAAGUCCUAAAGAGCACUUUAUUCUGAGGGUUAAAGCGAUGAUAAGAGGAACUGAAAGACAGUAGAUAUUAAGUGCUAGUACCUCUUCCUGAGAUAUCCCUAGCAACUUGAAUUCAGUAGCAUUAUGGGGAAAAACUGACCAUCAAACACACACGUCUGACACCAGUCCUUCCCUGUGAAAGAGCAUCUUUCCUACGUCUUUCCCUACUGACAGGCACUUCUGCAACACCACUGAUGUAA